UACGAAGGGGGCUAGCGUUGUUCGGAAUUACUGGGCGUAAAGCGCACGUAGGCGGCUUUCCAAGUUGGAGGUGAAAUCCCUGGGCUUAACCCAGGAACUGCCCCCAAGACUGGAAGGCUCGAGUCCGAGAGAGGUGAGUGGAAUUUCCAGUGUAGAGGUGAAAUUCGUAGAUAUUCGGAAGAACACCAGUGGCGAAGGCGGCUCACUGGACUGGUAUUGACGCUGAGGUGCGAAAGCGUGGGGAGCAAACAGGG
rnacentral:rRNA from 1 species